UCCCUGGUAGCUCAGAGGUUAAAGCGUCUGCCUGCAAUGUGGGAGACCCGGGUUCGAUACCUGGGUUGGGAA
rnacentral:tRNA from 1 species